CCUACGGGUGGCAGCAGUGGGGAAUAUUGCACAAUGGGGGAAACCCUGAUGCAGCGACGCCGCGUGAGUGAAGAAGUCUUUCGGUAUGUAAAGCACUAUCAGCAGGGAAGAAAAUGACGGUACCUGACAAAGAAGCACUGGCUAACUACGUGCCAGCAGCCGCGGUAAUACGUAGGGGGCAAGCGUUAUCCGGAUUUACUGGGUGAAAAGGGAGCGGAGACGGCCAGACAAGUCAGAAGUGAAAGCCCAGGGCUCAACCUUGGGACUGCUUUUGAAACUGCCGGGCUGGAGUGCAGGAGAGGGAAGCGGAAUUCCGGGUGUAGCGGUGAAAUGCGUAGAUAUUAGGAGGAACACCAGUGGCGAAGGCGGCCUACUGGACUGUGACUGACACUGAGGCACGAAAGCGUGGGGAGCAAACAGGAUUAGAUACCCGGGUAGUC
rnacentral:rRNA from 1 species